CUGUCGUCUAACGUCAAAAUGAUGGUUACAUUUUGAAAGCUGUCAAGAAAGUUGUUGCUGAGAAACAAAAAGUAUCUGAUUUUUCCAAAGAAACCUCCAUCCCAAAAAGAUCUCUACUGAAAUAUGUCAAAAAUUUCUUGGCUAAUGGAAUUCAAGAUGAAGUUGAAGCAACUACAAUCAUUGGGGGUUACCAAAAACCUCGUAAGGUUUUCAGCAGCGAACAAGAAAGCAAUCUUAGCAGUUACGUCAAAAGGGCCAGUGACAUUUAUCAUGGAAUCACUACCACAGACAUGAGAAGAUUGGCUUAUCAGUACGCUACCCAAGAAAAAUGUAUUGUCCCUCUUUCUUGGUCGGUCAAGAAGGAAGCUGGAAGAGACUGGCUCUCUGGUUUCAUGAGAACACGUCAAGACCUUUCAAUCAGAAAACCACAAGCAACAUCUCUAAGCAGAGCUACCAGCUUCAACAAGCAUUACGUUGAUUCCUUCUUUGACAAUGUUGAGGUUGAACUUCAGGUGAGAGAUGCACACUGGUUACAGUCUGCCUUACAGUAUCUGCCACAGGGAAGUCUAUUCCACCAUAUUUUGUCUUUCCACGAGUUCAUUUUAAGGAAUAUUUCCUCAAUGGUGCCCCUCUUGUUUCUGUUGGAUCCGCCAAUAAUCUGGCUGGAUAUGUCAGAAAGAUCGGUCGACUUUGCUCCAUCUUUCGUCACGGAUCGUCCUUUUAAUUCAUCACCAGUCCCAUCUUCAUAGGAAUCCCAGCAUCCAACGAUAACAUCGUCCAAGAAGGCCAAACUCCCGUUCCAGUCCAAAAAGACCAAACUCCCGUUCCAGAGAACCACAUCACGGCCAAUGUUCUUAGUUAUUUUAAUGAUCUUCAUGUCGUGGCCAUUUUAAUUUGUGAUUUUUAAAUAACUUAUGUAUCGUUAUCAUUU